UCUGGAUGAGAAAACUAAUCACAAUAUUAAGAGAGCCCUAUCUAAAUUAGUUAACGAUAAACAGAAUAACUGGGACAUAUACUUGGAAACCACAUUAUUUUUGCUCUGUUCAAAGGUCCACACAACAACAAAAUAUUCUCCAUUUGUUCUAAUGUAUGGGAGGGAGGCAGUUUUUCCUGUAGAAGUCCCUGUGGAUCUGCCAGUGCAAUGUAAGAUACCCUGAGGUGAACAGGGGUGUACCAGACAGCCACGACAGGAGCUUCAGGAGCUUCGGAGUUCAACUACAUGAAAUGAGACUUGACAACUUCAAACUUUGCAUGAGGACAACCUGCAUCUUUAAAAACCCUAUAGAAAAGCAUUGAGUUACUGAUUUCCGUUGGGAAGCCAAAAUGUGUGCGCAGGACGGACCUGAUGUUGACAGGGCCUGUCAUAGCAAAUAAAUUUACGUUAUUUCUUCUAAGUUAAUAUGCAGUUUAGACUUCAUUUGUAU